GACGAACGCUGGCGGCGUGCCUAAUACAUGCAAGUAGAACGCACAGUUUAUACUGUAGCUUGCUACACCAUAGACUGUGAGUUGCGAACGGGUGAGUAACGCGUAGGUAACCUGCCUGGUAGCGGGGGAUAACUAUUGGAAACGAUAGCUAAUACCGCAUAAUAUUAAUUAUUGCAUGAUAAUUAAUUGAAAGGUGCAAUUGCACCACUACCAGAUAGACCUGCGUUGUAUUAGCUAGUAGGUGAGGUAACGGCUCACCUAGGCGACGAUACAUAGCCCACCUGAGAGGGUGAUCGGCCACACUGGGACUGAGACACGCCCCAGAGUCCUACAGGAGGCGGCAGUAGGGAAACUUCGGCAAUGGGCGAGAGACUGAGCGAGCAACGCGGCGUGAGUGAGGAGGGUUUUCGGGUCGUAAAGCUCUGUUGUAAGAGAGGAACGGGUGUGAGAGUGGAAAGUUCACACUGUGACGGUAUCUUACAAAAAAGGGACGGCUAACUACGUG
rnacentral:rRNA from 1 species